AGCAGCCGCGGUAAUUCCAGCUCCAAUAGCGUAUAUUAAAGUUGUUGCAGUUAAAAGCUCGCAGUUGAAUUUCGGGAUUUGUCAGUUGGUCGGGCUUCACUGUCCGUAUUGACUUGAUGGAUUCUUACCUUCUGAAUAACCAGCAUGCUAUUAAGUUAGUGCGUUGGGGAAGCAGAUCUAUUACCUUGAAAAAAUUAGAGUGCUUAAAGCGAGCUAGUGCUUGAAUAGAUUAGCAUGGAAUAAUAAAAUAGGACGGCAUGGUUCUAUUUUGUUGGUUUCUAGGAUCACCGUAAUGAUUAAUAGGGAUAGUUGGGGGCAUUAGUAUUCAAUUGUCAGAGGUGAAAUUCUUGGAUUUAUUGAAGACUAACUUUUGCGAAAGCAUUUGCCAAGGAUGUUUUCAUUAAUCAAGAACGAAAGUUAGGGGAUCGAAGACGAUCAGAUACCGUCGUAGUCUUAACCAUAAACUAUGCCGACUAGGAAUCGGACGAUGUUAAUUUUAUAAUGACUCGUUCGGCACCUU
rnacentral:rRNA from 1 species